rnacentral:lncRNA from 1 species
GGAACCGAAGCUCUAUGUCCUUGAAGAGAUGAUAAAAGAGAGAAAUACCGCUUUACGAGAUGAAAAAGACCGCUAGGCGAGUCUGAGAAGGAAUGAAUAGGUCCAGGGUUCUUCCUACAUCAAUUGGUUGGAAAGGCGAAAUCACGUACUUCUGAGGAGGUCUGGCUGACAGAGCUUGGUUUUUCUUCCUUGACUCGAGACCUCUUUCACUGAGAACUAAUUCUACGUACUUCUGAGGAGGUCUGACUUACAAAGCUUGGUUUUUAUUCCUUGACUCGAGACCUCUUUCACUGAGAACUAAUUCAAUGUCUUUACGCAGG